CUCACCCAGGGAUCUUGUUAAAAUGCAGAUUCUGAUUCAGUAAGUCUAGAGUGGGGCCUGAAAUUCUGCAUUUCAGGUAAGAUCUCAGGUGAUGCAGA
rnacentral:pre_miRNA from 1 species